UCUCUACUCGCACACUACUGAGAGCUCUUUCUAGAUUCUAUGGGUGGUGGUGAAAUCACAGGAGAAAAAAAGGUGGUCAGUGCUCUCUAAUUCCGUUAACGAACGAGACCUCAGCCUGCUAACUAGCUAUGCGGAGGUAUCCCUUCGUGGCCAGCUUCUUAGAGGGACUACGGCCUUUUAGGCCGCGGAAGUUUGAGGCAAUAACAGGUCUGUGAUGCCCUUAGAUGU
rnacentral:ncRNA from 1 species